rnacentral:rRNA from 1 species
UACGAAGGGGGCUAGCGUUGUUCGGAUUUACUGGGCGUAAAGCGCACGUAGGCGGAUCGAUCAGUCAGGGGUGAAAUCCCAGAGCUCAACUCUGGAACUGCCUUUGAUACUGUCGAUCUGGAGUAUGGAAGAGGUGAGUGGAAUUCCGAGUGUAGAGGUGAAAUUCGUAGAUAUUCGGAAGAACACCAGUGGCGAAGGCGACACACUGGCCCGUUACUGACGCUGAGGCGCGAAAGCGUGGGGAGCAAACAGG